rnacentral:rRNA from 1 species
GAUGAACGCUAGCGGCAGGCCUAACACAUGCAAGUCGAGGGGUAGAGGUUGCUUGCAACCUUGAGACCGGCGCACGGGUGCGUAACGCGUAUGCAAUCUGCCUUGUACUGAGGGAUAGCCCAGAGAAAUUUGGAUUAAUACCUCAUAGUAUCUUUUCCCGGCAUCGGGAGAUUAUUAAAGUUCCAACGGUACAAGAUGAGCAUGCGUCCCAUUAGCUAGUUGGUAUGGUAACGGCAUACCAAGGCAAUGAUGGGCAGGGGUCCUGAGAGGGAGAUCCCCCACACUGGUACUGAGACACGGACCAGACUCCUACGGGAGGCAGCAGUGAGGAAUAUUGGUCAAUGGGCGCAAGCCUGAACCAGCCAUGCCGCGUGCAGGAUGAAGCAUCUAUGGUGUGUAAACUGCUUUUAUACGGGAAGAAACACCGGUUCGUGAACCGGCUUGACGGUACCGUAAGAAUAAGGAUCGGCUAACUCCGUGCCAGCAGCCGCAGUAA